UACGUAGGGUGCGAGCGUUGUCCGGAUUUACUGGGCGUAAAGCGCACGUAGGCGGAUCGAUCAGUCAGGGGUGAAAUCCCAGAGCUCAACUCUGGAACUGCCUUUGAUACUGUCGAUCUGGGUAUGGAAGAGGUGAGUGGAAUUCCGAGUGUAGAGGUGAAAUUCGUAGAUAUUCGGAAGAACACCAGUGGCGAAGGCGGCUCACUGGCCCGGUACUGACGCUGAAAUACGAAAGCGUGGGGAGCAAACAGG
rnacentral:rRNA from 1 species